GAGAGAGAGAGAGAGAAGAAAAAGAAGAAGAGGCUGUCUUGCAAGAAUAUUCCUCAAAGAAACUAAUAAAAAAUCAAAUCUUUAAUGUGCUAGGUCUCAUUUCCAAAAUGAACCACUAGGACAAGCCAAACACUAAAAUUACAUCCACCAAGUUAUUAUGAGAGUCAAGAGUAUUAGGGAAGUGCUCUUCACUCUUUCUUUUGCACUUUGUCACUGAUUAUGUUUUCAUCAAUUUAAUUUAUGACAACAAGAAUUAAUGAAGAUAGGCAAACACUGAUUAGUUCCACUAUUCAAAUGGGAAUUAAACAGAAUUCUUUCAAGUAAAAAUCCAAAGUUCUUUCAUCCUUGGUCAUUGGUCACAACUCACAAGGUUGGCCUUGGAGCAAUGGUAAGGUUCUUCAUUGUGACCUGAAGGUCAUGAGUUCAAAUUACAUAAAUAUUCUUCUUAUCACAAAUGUAGACAUCAUAUGAUUUAUCAGUAUUUUAUUUCAAUUUGCUUCUUCCAACAUUCUUGGACUAAAGUUCAGAGCACAUAAUAGACAUUUUUGUUUGGUGAAUAGGGUAUUUAGAUGACAGCAUCAGAGAAGAAUUAGAUUGUUGCAAACCCAAAAUCCAUAACAAAUGGGAAACCCUUGUAACAUUGAACUUAAAUAUUGUUAAUACAAAACAGGUCUCCUUUCAAAGUCAUCUCCAGGAAUAAAAUUUUUCAGUGAAGAUGAGUAUAUAUUUUAAGGAUAUAGAGUGAGUUUGGGGCUGCAGGGGCCUGAGAGUUUGUGCACCCCAGGCCCCCCACAGGCCAAACAGGGCCACAGAGGACCUGUUUAUAAUAUUAGAAAAUAUGACCAACUCCUAUAAUACUUGUAACAUUAAGGAUAAGACAAUGAGAUCUUUCCUCUCUAGAUAUUUUAAUCUCUACCAAGUACCAACUAGCUACUGGCUAUUGUCUUAACCCUCAAAGUAAGCGUGCUAGGAGCAGCUUAGCACCCACUUUUAUGGUGUUUCUCUAUAUUUUGCAAGGAUUCUCCUAGUUGGGAAAACACCAGAAUCCACCAGAAAUUUUUUGUUAUUUAUUAACAAGCUACUAUGAAGCACAACAAAUUUCGAAAAAGUGCAUGAAGAAGGAAUGUUGAAACUAAGGCAUCUUAUUCAUGAUUCUAGAAGCAACAAGAAAAAUUAAAAUAAUAAAAAGCACAAAAAAAGGAUUCUCCAAGUGCUGCAACUAUCCUAAAUUGAUCAAAGUAAAGUCCUGGAGACGAGUUUAAUACAGUGCUCUGCCAAUUAGUAUAUCAUUUGAGCUAAUAAGUAAUAAAUUUGGGUUAAAAAUAAAUAAAUAACACAAUUUUCUUUCCAAAAAAUGCAUUAACUCCAUUCAUCUCCUUUGAUACAAAAUCACUAACAUUGCGGCAAUGCUAUUCCAGCCCACUUGGAAUGAAAUGACAUCUCUUUAUAAAUGAAAUACUCGGAGAAUCUCUCAAACCAAAUAGAGUCUAAAAAAACAUCUUAAACUCCCACAUAUCAUAUAGUAAAGAAGCACAUAGUUUGCUCCCAUCCAAAAUUCUCUAUUCUCCCAUCCAAAAUUCUCUAUU
rnacentral:misc_RNA from 1 species